ACCCAAAUAGCUCAGCUGACAGAGCGUUAGACUACAGAUCGAAGGCUCCCUGGUUCGAUCCCAGGAUUCGCCA
rnacentral:tRNA from 1 species